rnacentral:rRNA from 1 species
UGCAAGUCGAACGGUAGCAGGAAGUGCUUGCACUUUGCUGACGAGUGGCGGACGGGUGAGUAAUGCUUGGGAACUUGCCUUUAGGUGGGGGAUAACAGUUAGAAACGACUGCUAAUACCGCAUAAUGUCUUCGGACCAAACGGGGCUUAGGCUCCGGCGCAAAGAGAGGCCCAAGUGAGAUUAGCUAGUUGGUAAGGUAACGGCUUACCAAGGCGACGAUCUCUAGCUGUUCUGAGAGGAAGAUCAGCCACACUGGGACUGAGACACGGCCCAGACUCCUACGGGAGGCAGCAGUGGGGAAUAUUGCACAAUGGGGGAAACCCUGAUGCAGCCAUGCCGCGUGUGUGAAGAAGGCCUUCGGGUUGUAAAGCACUUUCAGUUGUGAGGAAAAGUUAGUAGUUAAUACCUGCUAGCCGUGACGUUAACAACAGAAGAAGCACCGGCUAACUCCGUGCCAGCAGCCGCGGUAAUACGGAGGGGGUUAGCGUUGUUCGGAAUUACUGGGCGUAAAGCGCGCGUAGGCGGAUUGGAAAGUUGGGGGUGAAAUCCCGGGGCUCAACCUCGGAACUGCCUCCAAAACUAUCAGUCUAGAGUUCGAGAGAGGUGAGUGGAAUUCCGAGUGUAGAGGUGAAAUUCGUAGAUAUUCGGAGGAACACCAGUGGCGAAGGCGGCUCACUGGCUCGAUACUGACGCUGAGGUGCGAAAGUGUGGGGAGCAAACAGGAUUAGAUACCCUGGUAGUCCACACCGUAAACGAUGAAUGCCAGUCGUCAGCAAGCAUGCUUGUUGGUGACACACCUAACGGAUUAAGCAUUCCGCCUGGGGAGUACGGUCGCAAGAUUAAAACUCAAGGAAUUGACGGGGGCCCGCACAAGGCGGUGAGCAUGUGUUUAUUCGAAGCAACGCGCAGACCUUACCAACCCUUGACAUCCUGUGCUACAUCCAGAGAUGGAUGGUUCCCUUCGGGACGCAGUGACAGUGCUGCAUGCCUGUCGUCAGCUCGUGUCGUGAAAUGUCGGUAAGUCGCAACGAGCGCAACCACAUCUCAGUGCAGCAGUCGCUGCACUCUGGAGACUGCCGUGAUAGCGGAGGAGGUGAUGC